rnacentral:rRNA from 1 species
UACAGAGGUCCCAAGCGUUGUUCGGAUUCAUUGGGCGUAAAGGGUGCGUAGGUGGCGCGCUAAGUCGGGUGUGAAAUUUCGGAGCUUAACUCCGAAACUGCAUUCGAUACUGGUGUGCUUGAGGACUGGAGAGGAGACUGGAAUUCAUGGUGUAGCAGCGAAAUGCGUAGAGAUCAUGAGGAAGACCAGUGGCGAAGGCGGGUCUCUGGACAGUUCCUGACACUGAGGCACGAAGGCCAGGGGAGCAAACAGG